CUGAGUGGUGUCUCCCUCGGGCUUCAUCUCUAGGGCUGAUCGGUUCAGGGCAGCCGUGCCACAGAGUAGCAGUUGCACGACUGAUACUUGUAACGGGGUUCCUCGUGGGUAGCCUUUAUUUUGCGUGGGUUGCGUGUUGAACUGCUGGGUAGUUAGUUUGGUUUGACAUUUCCUGAAGGUCUAGGCAAAGAUUUAAAAAAAGGAGCGGACUUAAAGAGAAGUAUGUAUUAUUUUGUCAUGCCAUGUUGCUGUUUGAAACCUGUGUUGAUUAUUGGUGAUAUUCAAGAAAUUGCCGAGACUUAGAGGGCAAGUCUUGAUGUGCUGAGCGGAAGAGUGCAAUGGGUCUGUUUGGUUGCCAGGUGGCUUUCUUGACCCAUGUGGCCAGUUUAUCAAGAUUACACUGCACGCCUGAGAGAGUGAGAGAGAUCCCCUCCCUCCUUAAAUAAUGACCGUGACGCUAAUGGGAUGAAAUACUCUUCUCGAUCAGCCUGGAUGUCAGUCCAGCUCUGUCCCAUCUCUGUCCCCCUUCCCCGAUACGUCACAUCUGUGGGCAGAGCAGUCAGAAUGCCCUUGGCUCUCAGACCGGCGCAAUUAACACCCCAGCACAGAGCUAAUGUUUUUAUCUCGUGUUCUCAAACUAAUUGAAAGGUUUCUAACUCCAUGAAGAAAAUGAGUUCACUUUCAGUCAAACCCGCACAGUUCCGGGCACGGAGCCCUCAGGGCUCUGUCAGGGCUUUCUUUUCUCUUCUGCCUUCCCUUCCCUUCCCCCCUGCCCGUCCCCUUUCCCUCUCCCUUCCUUCACCCUUCCCUCAAAACCACUUUCCAGGACACAAAACGCAAUGGAUACAAGUGUUUCUAUUUUAUUUUAUUUUAUUUUGUUUUAUUUUAUUUUAAUUUACUUCAUUUUAUGUUUUUUCGUGUUCUGUUAUUCCAUGUCAUUUCCGUUUCUCACUCUUUUUCAGAGCCAAUGCUCACAAUCCUUAACACAAGCCCACGUGUAGCCAGGAGCAGGCUGAUGCAUUCUUCAGUUUAGCUCGAACAAACAGCCCUUGCGGGCUGGCAAAGGCAAGUCCCAGAGCUGCGGAGAGCAGCAGCAGGAAUGGAGGCCAAGCUUUGCCAGGUUCCUGAAGAGGGAGGACCUUGAGAAUGAGGCGCGGGACUGACCAUGCACCAAAGAAGAGCCCCGUUACGAAUUCCUGCCCAAACCUGGGAAGAAGAAACAAAAUGCCAGAGAUUACUGAAUGCACCAAGAAGACACAGCAGACAUGACGGAGGAAAACAGCAAGAGGGGAAGGAGAGGAGGAGCAGAGGACACGUAAGCAAACAAGAUCCUUGAAUCUCACCCCAUCCGAGGAGUGAUAGAAGGGUUCCCAAAGACCAGGCUCUGAAUCAAAAGCAUACCUCGUCAGCUUCUGUCUCCAAGUCUCUCAUUUGCUGCUCGGCCUCAGGUCUGCUCUGACAGUAGGCCACACUUCUCUGCCUCAUUUCAGCAUCUGGAUGCUUCAGAAGAAAUGUGUGAGCUGCUGCAAUAGCCUUUGCAAGGUUGUGAGCCUAAACAGGGAUGGGAAAAAGCGGAAGGGGGGGAAAAGGGUUAAUGGGGGAAAAAAAAAUCAAAGUUUCCCAGUUUUUUCAACAAAUCGAUUAUUGCUGCAGAUAGCAUAGGUGACGACUUGAAGUUAACAGAAGAGCAUUUUUCCCCUCCACUUGCCCUGUUCAUGAAGCUGACAAGGCAGAAGCAUAUACUGUUGCUCCUGUGUGGGAUUAGUCUCACAGCAGUUACUGAGGCCAGCCUGUGACUGCUGACCAGGAGCCAUCACUGCCCGUGUUUACACGGCGUUCGUGUCACUUCUUGGCCCAGCAGCACGCAAGACAAUAUCCCAAGAACGUAUCUGCCUGAUGGUGUUACAGAGUUCGAGCAAACGGCAGGGACCUGUGUGUGAUCUGCCGCAACAGCUUUUGGAAGGUCGUGAGCCUAAACAGGGGUGGGAAGAAGAGGAAA